AAUCUGGACCGUCCAUCGCGAUGCAAUCUGGGCCGUCCGUGCGCGUGAAUCUGGACCAUCCGUGCUCACGUUUGAUCUGGGUCGUCCGUGUGUGCGGGAACGGAUCUGGGCCGUCCGAUCGCGCGCACGCGGAUCGCCCACAUGGCCCGUCCCCUGGUCAGCGUUUCCUUACCACGCGGCGCGUCCUGGUUGGCCGGGGCUGCUGACUGGGCCGCUGACGUGGCUGCUGACGUGGCACAACUUUUCUAAAUUGUGUUUUGACCCUCGGUUUCUGAUUUUAUUUUCAAAAACACCCCCAGAAUCUAAAUUUUCACCCCUUUUUCCCAAAAUCAAUUUCAAUUAAAUCCAAAUAAUAUUUUUACCAAAUUUUAUCAUUAU
rnacentral:lncRNA from 1 species